AUUGAACGCUGGCGGCAUGCUUCACACAUGCAAGUCGGACGAGUGGCGAACGGGUGAGUAAUACAUUGGAACGUACCGAGUAAUGGGGGAGAACCAAGCGAAAGAAUGGCUAAUACCGCAGAUUAUGCGAGCGGCCAAUAUCUGAUUAGCUAGUUGGUGGGGUAAAGGCCUACCAAGGCGACGAUCAGUAGCGGGUCUGAGAGGAUGGUCCGCCACACUGUGACUGAGACACGGCCCAGACUCCUACGGGAGGCAGCAUUGGGGAAUUUUGGACAAUUGGCGCAAGCCUGAUCCAGCCAUGCCUCGUGUCUGAUGAAGGCCUUCGGGUUGUAAAGGACUUUUGUUAGGGAAGCGGUACCUAAAGAAUAAGCACCGGCUAACUACGUGCCAGCAGCCGCGGUAAUUC
rnacentral:rRNA from 1 species